rnacentral:tRNA from 23 species
GCCGCGGUAGUCUAGUGGUCUAGGAUGGGGGCCUGUCGAGCCCCUGACCCGGGUUCAAAUCCCGGCCGCGGCG